rnacentral:rRNA from 1 species
GACGAACGCUGGCGGCGUGCUUAACACAUGCAAGUCACGGGGGCCCAGCAAUGGGCAACCGGCGAACGGGUGCGUAACACGUGAGCGACCUGCCUUUCCGCGGGGGGAUAGCCGGCCCAACGGCCGGGUAAUACCGCAUACGCUUCCUUCGGGGCAUCCCGUGGGAAGGAAACCUCCGGGGCGGGAAGAGGGGCUCGCGGCCUAUCAGCUAGUUGGCGGGGUAACGGCUCACCAAGGCGACGACGGGUAGCUGGCCUGAGAGGAUGGCCAGCCACAUUGGGACUGAGAUACGGCCCAGACUCCUACGGGAGGCAGCAGUGGGGAAUAUUGCGCAAUGGCCGCAAGGCUGACGCAGCGACGCCGCGUGUGGGAGGACG